rnacentral:misc_RNA from 1 species
GAUGAAGAACGUAGCGAAAUGCGAUAAGUAAUGCGAAUUGCAGAAUUUCCGUGAGUCAUCGAAUCUUUGAACGCACAUUGCGCCCCUUGGUAUUCCGAGGGGCAUGCCUGUUCGAGCGUCAUUAUAACCCCUCAAGCUCAGCUUGGUGUUGGGGCCUGCUGCACUGGCAGCCCUUAAAAUCAGUGGCGGCGCCAUCUGGCUCUAAGCGUAGUAAUUCUUCUCGCUAUGGAGUCCUGGUGGAUGCUUGCCAUCAACCCCCAAUUUUUCUAUGGUUGACCUCGGAUCAGGUAGGGAUACCCGCUGAACUUAAGCAUAUCAAAAGCGGAGGA